UUUAUGGAGAGUUUGAUCCUGGCUCAGGAUGAACGCUGGCGGCGUGCCUAAUACAUGCAAGUCGAGCGAACGGACGAGAAGCUUGCUUCUCUGAUGUUAGCGGCGGACGGGUGAGUAACACGUGGAUAACAUACCUAUAAGACUGGGAUAACUUCGGGAAACCGGAGCUAAUACCGGAUAAUAUUU
rnacentral:rRNA from 1 species